UGCGGGGGGAGCAAGCGUUGUUCGGAUUUACUGGGCGUAAAGGGCGCGUAGGCGGCCACGACAAGUCACUUGUGAAAUCUCCGGGCUUAACUCGGAACGGUCAAGUGAUACUGUCGGGCUAGAGUGCAGAAGGGGCAACUGGAAUUCUCGGUGUAGCGGUGAAAUGCGUAGAUAUUGAGAGGAACACCUGCGGCGAAGGCGGGUUGCUGGGCUGACACUGACGCUGAGGCGCGAAAGCCAGGGGAGCGAACGGG
rnacentral:rRNA from 1 species